CUAACUCAUGGAAGGCUCAGGUGUGGGAAACGCUGGCUUGACUAAGAUAUCCUGAAAUACAACAGAGUUUCUUCAUCAUGCAUGGGGGAAGUACCUUCUCAUAUAUAUUUGCCAUGAGGACUUCGUGAAAUGCAAUGCAUAGUGCUCAAGGCCCUUGGGAGCAGGAUCCAAGAAUGGUGAGUUUGUCUGGUCUUCUCACCACACCUGGACACUGGGCUGCAGAAACUAGACUUGAGGUCUGUCGCAUACGGCCACUCGGAUGUGGAAACAGGGCUGGUGUCCUUUAACAUAAACACACAAGCAAAGCCAUCUCAUGACGUGCCACUGCCUCACCUGGGCCUUCACUGGUGACUCGUGUGUUCUUGAGGAGGGGGGCUCAUCGCCAGCACUGUGUUGAACACGUCCUCCUGCGCAGAGCUGUGCUCCAGCCUCAUUGGCCGCCCACAUAGCCAUCUGGCUGUGCAAGACUUCUAUUUAGUGUCUUCUAAACAUGUACUCCAUUAUGUAGCACUCUUCUCCUGAGGUUUCUGACUUGACAUCUUAAGCAAAGCCUGAUAAAUGGUAUUAUUUACAAAACUGUGUGUGCAUAUGUGUGUACUGUGCACACGUGUGUUUCUGUAUAUGUAUGCAUGUGUGUAAAACACUCUCUGAUUUUCCCGGGAUGGUUCCAGAGCCUGUGCUGGGGCAGGCCAGUGGCUGAUUCUGAAAACUUCCAUGUACUCCUGGUCUGUGGGGUGGUAGGAAGGUCCUUAUACCCGCUCCCCCAUCUCUAGACUCAGCAUCAGUCCUGGUACCCUCUGGAGAAGCAAAUUGGGUGGAAAGUUAAAUCAUUUCCACAUAUGCCGAAGUCCCAAUGCACCAAACACUAAUAUGGAUAAAAUAAAUGCAUAAACUUUUGAAGCAUAUUAUCG
rnacentral:lncRNA from 1 species